rnacentral:rRNA from 1 species
AGUGAACGCUGGCGGUAGGCCUAACACAUGCAAGUCGAACGGCAGCACAGUAAGAGCUUGCUCUUACGGGUGGCGAGUGGCGGACGGGUGAGGAAUACAUCGGAAUCUACUUUUUCGUGGGGGAUAACGUAGGGAAACUUACGCUAAUACCGCAUACGACCUACGGGUGAAAGCAGGGGAUCUUCGGACCUUGCGCGAUUGAAUGAGCCGAUGUCGGAUUAGCUAGUUGGCGGGGUAAAGGCCCACCAAGGCGACGAUCCGUAGCUGGUCUGAGAGGAUGAUCAGCCACACUGGAACUGAGACACGGUCCAGACUCCUACGGGAGGCAGCAGUGGGGAAUAUUGGACAAUGGGCGCAAGCCUGAUCCAGCCAGACCGCGUGGGUGAAGAAGGCCUUCGGGUUGUAAAGCCCUUUUGUUGGGAAAGAAAAGCAGCAGGUUAAUACCCCGCUGUUCUGACGGUACCAAAGAAUAAGCACCGGCUAACUUCGUG